rnacentral:rRNA from 1 species
GACGAACGCUGGCGGCGUGCUUAACACAUGCAAGUCGAACGAAGUGGCGAACGGGUGAGUAACGCGUAAUCAACCUGCCCUUCAGAGGGGUACAAAAGUUGGAAACGACUGCUAAUACCGCAUACUGAAGGAGGGGAUUGCGUCUGAUUAGCUAGUUGGGGGGGUAACGGCCCACCAAGGCGAAGAUCAGUAGCCUGUCUGGGAGGAUGAACGGGCACAUUGGGACUGGGACACGGCCCAGACCCCUAAGGGAGGCAGCAGGGGGGAAACUUCCGCAAAGGACGAAAGUCUGACUGAGCAAAGCCGCGGGAGUGAUGACGGGCUUCGGGUUGGAAAGCUCUUUUAAUCGGGACGCGGUACCGGAAUAGAAAGCCACGGCUAACUACGUGCCAGCAGCCGCGGUAAUAC